AGAUGGUGGUGCCGGGGUUGGCAAUUUGACGGCCAAGUCUUGGAAAUCCUCGGAGGACAAUCUUGACUGUUGUGCUGCCUGCCCCCUUUGGUCGGAAGUGGCGAGGGAUGAAGCCCAGAGGAGCACUGAGGCCAGUGGGAGCUGGGGUGCCCAGGACCCUCUUUCUUCCAUUGUCCCCUGAACACGGAUCCUGGGAAUGUCUCUGCAAAUGGCAGGAAGGAUGAAGAUCACUGAUGGGCCAUUGUCAGCAGAAGAGCCGCAAGACAGAGCUGCAGUGAGGCCUGCAGGUCCCCAGCUUCAGGACCCAGCCUAGAGAGGCAACACUGUAGAGGAAAGAGCCUUCUGGGAAUCAGAAGCCAGAUGACCUGUGUGAGCCUCAGGAGGCCAGGAGUCAAGCCAGUCCCAUUUAAACAAGGAGGAGAAGAAAGAAGGGGAGAUCCAAGUAUCCAAGGAGAAGGGACAAGGAAUCAAAAGAAUGUUCUCACCACCCUAAGGCCAUGCCAUCACUUCUGUCUCUUUCCACAGACUCCUCCUCAUCCAGGCCCUUGUCCCUUUACAGGAAGCAGCACAGCACGGGGAAAGGAACAUGAAUUUUGGAGUCAUGUGGCCCUACAUCUGAAUUCUGGCUCUGCCACUUAAUUAGCUGUGUGAUUUCAGGCAAGUUGCUUAACUGAUCUGAGCCUCAGUUUCCUCAUCUGAAAAUAAGUACCGUAAUAUCCUUUUCCUAGGGUCUUUGGGGUACUGUUUAUAAACACAAGGCAUUCCCAUGAACCAGCAGGUAUAAUGUAUCAGACCUCUGGAAGAGGCUCAAGCCCUACAAAAAUAAUUGCUCUCUAGGUUGAUUUAUAAGUGGUCACUCUUUGUCAUUUGUAAGUUGUUUGCUCUGCAGCACAGAUACUUUAAGAUUCUGAAUCUCAGACUGAUAGGAUCCUGUCCCUGAAAAGAUGGAUGGGGACACAGGCCCCAGGGAAGUGACUAGAUCAAGGUCACACAGGGAACCGUGGCAGAGCUGGAGCUCAAACAUGGGUGUCUGACGUCUAAUCUAGGCCUCUUACUCUUGUGUCACUGCUAAAUCAGAUUAUUAUUUUAAACAGGACGUUGGUGAUCACCUGGUCAGACUCCCUCCCACACUGGAAGGAAGUGAGGCCCAGAGAAGUUUGAUGAGCAGACAGUAUGGAAAUCAGGAGAGCAGGAGUUUCUCCGACCAAUGCACAGAUGAGUUAAACUCCAGGUGCUCUGCACAGGUCCUACACAGAGUUGGUGCUCGAUAAAUGAACGCGCCAUGAAAGAAUUGAGUCAGCGGAGAGGGGAAGUUCUGGAAGAGGAGGUGAUUGAUGGUCCUUAAUCCUGGAAACCUCUUUAACAAAGAAAAUACUUCAUCAUGUGGUAAGAUAGCACUUUUAGCACUUUGACCCUUAGCACUUUGACCUUGCCACCUAACCGGAACUAGCCUUUGACCUCCCCUCUCCAGCCCUCGCCAUCUAAACUCCCAAGCCAAAUACCAUGUAAAAAAGGGCAGAAGCCCGGGUAGGUAAGGGGAUGAGCGAUUCCAUGGUCUUCACAUGUAAGUCAAAGUUUCCAAUCUGUUGCAUCCAAGGUCAUCCCACAGUCUGCUUUGAAACUCUCAUGCUAUAAAGGCCUCAUAGGGGAUAGUUAGGAGUGGGUAAUGUGAUUGGGAAUUCUUCCAAGAAGAAACAGAAAAGACAACCAAAAAGAAGCUUCUGGGAUGCAGGGGAGGCUGGAAGGGACCAGGGGAUCUGGGGUGUGAGGAGAGAGGCCUGGGACUGUGGCUGGCCUGUCCCCAGCCUGCAAGAACUCAAGAAACCUGAGCGAGCCAGCUGCGCAGGAAUGUGAGAAAGUUUACAUCUUUUCCCUUGCGCCCACACAGCCAUUAUUUAUUUAUAGUUCCCUUUCAUGCAAACAAACUUGCUUCCCUCUAAGACAUAAGCUCUGCUCUGGGCACUGGCACCCAAUGGGGGAGGCCUCCUAAGGGAAUCAGAAGUGAAAACCUCAGGUCCUCAGUAGCUAAGCUGUAUGACCUAGGGAAA